CAUACAUUUCACAUACUUAAUUAUGAAUUAAGUUUUGAAUGAUCUAAAUUUGAGAAUUGAAGAUCAUUAAGACACCACAUAAAAUGAUGGGCAAAGGGUUAGCAUGAAUCAAAUCUUUCUAAUGGGUUAGACCUAGGGUUAGAAAUACAUAUGGAUCAUGUAAAAAAAUUGAUUAAAUCUAAUCAAGUGUUGAAUUAGAUCAAAUCAGUAUUUCUUUAAAUCAAUCUCAAUAGUUGUAGUUUGAUCAAGUUCAUGUGUUUGACCCUAAUAAAUGGAUCA
rnacentral:lncRNA from 1 species